AAGCAUAUCACUAAGCGGAGGAGAAGAAAACAACCGUGAUGCCCCUAGUAAUGGCGAAUGAAGCGGGCAUAGCUCACGCCGCCAAUCUGGCCGGCCUCGUGCCGCCCCGAAUUGUAGUCUAGAAAGGCGCCAUCGGCCGCGUCCGCCGCUCAAAUCCCUUGGAACAGGGUAUCGGAGAAGGUGAGAAUCCUGUACCGUGGCGUUUCGCGGCCGCACGAUGCGCCCUUGCAGAGUCGGGUUGCUUGGGAUUGCAGCUUGAAUUGGGUGGUAAAUUCCAUCUAAAGCUAAAUACUGGCUCAUGACCGAUAGCGAACAAGUACCGUGAGGGAAAGAUGCAAAGAACUUUGAAAAGAGAGUUAAAGAGUGCUUGAAAUCGGAGCGAGGAAACCCGUUUGUGCCCGGCUUCGCGCCGUCGACUCAGCCGUCUCGAAGCGGUGCACUUUGUCGGCGCGGGUCCGUCGCGACUGCGUGCGUCUCACAAUCGCCGGGGGGGCUUCKGUGAUCCCGGACAUGUGCGCGUGUGGUCCCGUCGGACGUAACGGGCACAACCGACCCGUCUUGAA
rnacentral:rRNA from 1 species